CAGAUUGUAGCUUAUUAUAAAGCUUUUUAGUUACAUUAAAAUGAAAAUUAUUAAAUUUUGUCUGAA
rnacentral:tRNA from 1 species